ensembl:snoRNA
GUCGAGGCUAGAGUCACGCUUGGGUACUGGUGAUUGCCUUAGUGUGCUAGAGUCCUCAAAGAAUAACGACUGACCUUAUUCACUGGCUGUGGACCUUGUGGCACACUCAGUCACCGGUUUAGUGACAUGC